rnacentral:misc_RNA from 1 species
AAUUCUCAACUAUACCAGUUUCUGAAACUCGUAUAGCUUGGAUCUUGGGAUUUGCGGGCUUUUCACAAGUCGGCUGUCCUUAAAUGCAUUAGCAGAGCUUUUGCCGCUAACCCCCUGGUGUGAUAAUUAUCUACGCCAUUGAGUUGCGACAUAAUCGAGGCUUAGCUUCUAAUCGUCCGCAAGGACAAUUUUUGACA